GAGGCCCUGGCCGAGGCCUACCGCGCCGAGCUGGAGGCGCUGGUCGAGCAUUGCCUGGCCGAAGGCAACGGCGGUUUCACCCCGUCCGACUUCCCC
rnacentral:tRNA from 1 species